GACGAACGCUGGCGGCGUGCCUAAUACAUGCAAGUAGAACGCUGAAGCGAGGAGCUUGCUCUUCUUGGAUGAGUUGCGAACGGGUGAGUAACGCGUAGGUAACCUGCCUUGUAGCGGGGGAUAACUAUUGGAAACGAUAGCUAAUACCGCAUAACAAUGGAUGACACAUGUCAUUUAUUUGAAAGGGGCAAUUGCUCCACUACAAGAUGGACCUGCGUUGUAUUAGCUAGUAGGUGAGGUAAUGGCUCACCUAGGCGACGAUACAUAGCCGACCUGAGAGGGUGAUCGGCCACACUGGGACUGGGACACGGCCCAGACUCCUACGGGAGGCAGCAGUAGGGAAUCUUCGGCAAUGGGGGCAACCCUGACCGAGCAACGCCGCGUGAGUGAAGAAGGGUUUCGGAUCGUAAAGCUCUGUUGUAAGUCAAGAACGGGUGUGAGAGUGGAAAGUUCACACUGUGACGGUAGCUUACCAGAAAGGGACGGCUAACUACGUG
rnacentral:rRNA from 1 species